CAUGUAAUAUGCAUCAAAGUAAAUACAAGAAACAGUUUACAGUUUCUAAAUCUUUAUAAUGGAUAUAGUUGAGUGCUUUGGUAUGGAAUCUAGGAUGUUGUGUGGGCUAGCGGAGAAUUACAUAGUGGUCAGGAUUUGGCUAGAACUAUUUAGUGCAUAGAAUUGGUUUGUAUGAUCAGGAUAAUAAGCUAGAGAGAUUCGGAGUUCCUGUGUUUUCAAACCUCUUCCACGGGUUUGGCUUUUGUGUUUUGCUUGAGGGCAAGCAAAAACUAAGUCUGGGGGAGUUGAUAUACCUCGAUUUUCAAUGCUUUUAGCUAUGAAUUAGGUAUAGUUUUUAGAGUCUUUUGUUAUUUGUAGAGUCUUUUCUAGUCUUUUUCAGGUCUUUAAAUGUUUGGGAUGCAUUUGGAGAUUAUGGAGCAUUCUGGUGCAAAUCAGACAACUUAAGUUGCAGCAGCAAUCCGAAGACAAAAAUUGACGUAGGUGUCGAUCGACACAACCCCUGUUGUCGAGCGACACCAAUACCUGACGGCAAGUCAAUCGCGCAACUUAUUGAUGUUUCCAAAAUCGGCCCAGAACUUUCCCUUAUUUCUAAGAAGGCCCAUCACGUUUUAGGAACUUAUAUAUUGAUUUUUAUGGUCAUUGUUUAGAUCUAACUAUUAUUCUCUAUUAUGUACUUUGGGGCAAAAUCCUAUGGAGACUCCCUUUAGAGAAGAUUCUUCUAAACUCUUUUCUCUUCUUAAUUUCAUCAUUGACUUCUUAUUCAAUCAUGUUUUGUUUUUUCUAUAAUCAUGCUUGAGUAGUUCUCUUGUUUGGUUAAGGGAUUCUCAUUAGGGAUUUGGUUGAAUUAGU
rnacentral:sRNA from 1 species